rnacentral:lncRNA from 1 species
AUGGAAGGAAUAGGAGGAGGGCCCAUGUCACCACGAGGCAGCUUCUCCAGCGCUAAGGCGUGGUCACUCCCAUGCCACGGAGAGUUGUUCUGCAAAGCACGGGCCGCGUCGCAGGAGGACGCUGAAGGCCGAGGCUCUGGCACAGCGGCAGGAGCCUGGCGCGGACCAGCCUCCCGAGCCGAGCCGUCGGCCCGGACGGACACUUGGUCAGUGUCACUCUCUGCCUCUCCGCAGAGCGUGGUCUGCAGCCUGGCAAACUCGGCCCUGUCUCUGGACCCCCCCGCACCUUGCCCUUCGCUGCCGCCAGCCCCGGGCGCGCCCCAGCAUCGCCCCACACCUGCUCACGGCCGGAACACCCCAACAGCGGGAGGCAGGGCACGGAGGUGGAGGUGGGGUCCAGCGAGCCCCCUGCCGCGCAACGCCACUCGCGCUGCUCCCCAAAAGGCAGAGCCCCUCAAAGUCUUGGAAGAUCCGGUGCCCCGCAACCUGCGGGAUGAACCCAUGCACGUGUGCACCACGCGUUUAACCGCACAGUCAUCCCUAGGCUUGCCGCAAAGAUGGUCCACAGUUCACGUUGUUUUAAAAAAAACACAUCUCGAGGCUUGCAGUCGGUGCCUGCCACAUGGCGUGGCUUCUGGGACGUCGCGUCCUCGAGAAGGGACCUAAAUUCCGACGCCCCGCUCCCCUUCCGGUGGCGCCGUAAGAAGCGGCUCCGCUGCCCCUCCCGCGUGCCCAGGGGUGCGGCCUCGCUGGGUGCCGGUGCCCAGGGCCUGGGGGUGGCGAAGGGGAGGGGAUACGGGCCUCCCUCCCCCACUGUGAAAAUUCUGCGCCCUGAGCUCUGGAAUUCUUUGGUCACAAUCCUCCUUCAAUUUUAGCGUGGCGGUACCAUCAAGAUUUAUACCUGGAAAUGAACAUUUUAACCACCUUCCUUAUUAAAGAAGAUUAAAAAGAAGAAUUUUUUGCUCUAGCUCCGUUCUCUGCGGUUUGCAGAAAUAAGGGUGGGGGCGGGGCUGGAGCAGGGGUGGAGCCUCCCCCGCGGUGAAAAUGAGACUCCCCUUACCGAUUUAAUGGGGCCAUUUGUUUUUUCAUCGGGCGCCCCGCGACCCCGAUGUACAGUGGGUAAUUCGCAGUUUCCUCCGAGGCUCCCUAACUGGGGAGGGGCGCCUAGGGGAAGCUGCGACUUUGCUGUCCCACGCCCGAGCGCCCACGGGCCUGGGUCGCCCGGCUCUGGGACUGCGGAUCCAAGGCGGACUGGAAAGGCCCUGGGGGUGAAGAGCGCGGAUCCCGACGGGCGCACGCGGGGAACGAAGGCGGAGCCCGCGUGGGCAGUGGGCCUGUGUUCCCCCGCAUUCACCUCCCCGCGGGUGCCCGGGGCCCACGCAGCGCCCCGGCUGGAAGCUGCGUCCGCGCCCAAAGCCAGCGCAGAACUCCCAGGGAAAGAAGUUUGCCAGGCUGCAGUGUAGACACGGCCUCUUCCCUCCGAAUCGUGCUGAGAUAAUCUAAGUGCCCCCUACACAGCCACGCAAGUGGCGAGCACACGCCUGGGUCCGCGGCCCCCACGUGGCGCCCGGCUUGGCGCAGACGCGUGCGCGGGCAGCGCGGCGGGCGUGACACCGCAUUUUCUCCAAGUGCCUGUCCUCGGGGGCGGUGCAGCCCGGAGAGGGGG